GCGGCGGACGGGUGAGUAACGCGUGGGUAACCUGCCCUGUACACACGGAUAACAUACCGAAAGGUAAUGCUAAUACGGGAUAACAUAAGAAAUUCGCANGUUUUCUUAUCAAAGCUCCGGCGGUACAGGAUGGACCCGCGUCUGAUUAGCUAGUUGGUGAGAUAACGGCUCACCAAGGCGACGAUCAGUAGCCGACCUGAGAGGGUGAUCGGCCACAUUGGAACUGAGACACGGUCCAAACUCCUACGGGAGGCAGCAUG
rnacentral:rRNA from 1 species